rnacentral:misc_RNA from 1 species
UUUCCGUAGGUGAACCUGCGGAAGGAUCAUAAUUGAAAUAAACCUGAUGGGUUGUUGCUGGUUCUCUAGGGAGCAUGUGCACGCCCUGUCAUCUUUAUAUCUCCACCUGUGCACUUUUUGUAGACCCUUCCAGGUCUAUGUUGCUUCAUUUACCCCAAUGUAUGUUAAUAGAAUGUUGUGCCUAUAUAAUAUAUACAACUUUCAGCAACGGAUCUCUUGGCUCUC